AUGGUGGUGCUUAAGAUAGAAUAUGCAGAAAAUAAUACUUCUACAUCUAGAAAGAUCCCAAUUCCUCCCGCGGACACCACUAUGGAUGUAUGGAGGCGCCGGCCCAUUCAUCUCAGAUCUCCUCUGUACUUCUCACACGACCCAGGCCACGCAUUAUCUCAUCUGAAAGCAACAUCCACGAAAUCUCUGCGCCGUCCAUGCGUUUUUAUUUUAAUUUAUUUGAUUUUUUGGCCAAGAACGUUCACGUGCGAUUGUGUGGUGGGGUUCGAUUCAAUUCUGAGCAAGCUAGAUAUAGAUACGGCCCCAGAUCCGUACCGUACCACGGACGGAGUUCGUACCGCAGCAGGAAGGGAAUUAAUGGCGGCGAGUAAUCAUGGAGUAAAAGGUGGAGGUAACGUACUUGAUGAAGUGCUCGGAGAUGGUGCCGGAGGCGAGGCGGCCGAAGAAGCCCCAGAUGCUGGUCAUGGAGACGAAGAGCGAGACGUCGGUGUAGCCCAUGGCCACGCCCAUCUGCCCCAGGUUGUUCAUCACCGCCAGCCCCGUGCCCACGCCCAUCAGGAACGACGAGAAGAGCACCCAGAAGAAGGAGGCCGGGUCGUCGGCGAAGAGCGCGGAGCAGACGUCGGUGAAGAUGGCGGUGCUGAGCCCGACGUAGCCCUUGAGGACCCCCGAGACGGGGCCCCUGCUGCCGCGGAAGUUGCGGAUGCAGGUGACGAGCACGGCGGUGUUCAUCCAGGUGGUGGAGUUGCCGCCGAGGCAGAGGCAGACGCACAUCUGCCAGUAGGGCAGCGGCGAUAUGGUUUUGGAGACGACGAGCCACUGCGCGCCGUAGCCGAGGAAGCCCUCGAGGGAGCCGAUGGCGAGGAGGAGCCAGGUGGGGAGGCGGUCGGAGGCGAGCCCCGCGAGCAGGCCGAAGGCCUUGCCGACGUCCUUGGCGACGGAGAGGCCGUUGAGCUGCAGCUGCGUGAGGCCCAUGAGCGUCUUGAUGGAGUCGGAGUAGUUGGAGAAGGUGUAGUUGUUGCCCGAGAUGCACUGCACCCACACCGCCGCCACCAGCCCCAGCCACCGCCCCCACGCCGUCCCCGCCAUCGCGUCCAGCGCCGUCGACACCAUCGCCGGCGGCCAACGUUACCUACCACGGCUCCUCUUUCCCUUUGCUUUGGCCGCGUCUGCUUGGCUGCCUGCCUCGGAGUGGGCGGGAGGCGGUAUGGGAGGGAGGGCGGGAGCGGGGGCGGUGGAGGCGCGUUGCUUUCCGCGCGUGUCGCGCCGCGUCAGUGGGGCGGGUGGGGGUUUUCGUCUCGCCUGGGAGGUCACGCUAAGAUUGGGGGUUUAGCGAGGAAGAUGGCGGUUGAUUUUAUAGGCAGGGGGAGACACGGGCCGGGAGAUUUCCUCGGGCUCUUGGAGUCUUGGGGAGCAGGCGGGACAUUGUCGGAUCGACGGCGGUGA
rnacentral:rRNA from 1 species